GUGAAUUGAAUCUCAUAUUUGAUUUGGAGAACAUUUUAUUCCAGGAAGAAGUUUUGUGGUACCAAAAUUCGAGAAGUGGAUGGCUAACUAGUAAAGAUCAAAGCAUGAAGUUUUUUCAUAGCCGUACUCUUACUUGUAGAAAGAUAAAUAGGAUUGAAGCUCUUUAAAUUGCCAAUAUUGGGUGGUGUUUUGAUGAUGAGUUUC
rnacentral:lncRNA from 1 species